rnacentral:rRNA from 1 species
UACGUAGGAGGCAAGCGUUGUCCGGAAUUAUUGGGCGUAAAGAGCGUGUAGGCGGUCCGGUAAGUCCGCUGUGAAAGUCCAGGGCUCAACCCUGGAAUGCCGGUGGAUACUGCCGGGCUAGAGUCCGGAAGAGGCGAGUGGAAUUCCUGGUGUAGCGGUGAAAUGCGCAGAUAUCAGGAGGAACACCAGUGGCGAAGGCGGUUCUCUGGGCCUUACCUGACGCUGAGGAGCGAAAGCGUGGGGAGCAAACAGG